rnacentral:lncRNA from 1 species
ACUAGUCGGCGGGCGCGGCGCGGGACCGUAGGUCGCCGCUGCCGGCGGCCAUCCGAAGAGCCCUCCGGCGGGGCAGAGAGCCUCCGCGCGAGGAGAGGCUGCUGUGAGCGAGGAGGAAAGGAGAAGGGCCGGCCAGAUCCGAGCUCACCUCGGCGGGGCAAGGUGGCCGCCGUGCAAGGAGAGGCCGACAGGCCGUAGGAGCUCGCGAGAGCCAAGAGGGGUGAGGGAAGGUGGCCACUGCCGUGGGUCUCGUCGGCGGAACAGAGGGCCUCCGCGCCAGAGAACAGGGCGAGAGAAAACGGCGCGACAGGAAGAAAAUAAACGCUAGGGUUUUCGGCUCGGUGGCGAGAGGGAGUUUUAUCCGAGCGAGCGUUGCGCCCGGCCGUCGG